AUUAAGGUUGCUUUGAACCUAAUGAGGCUUAAAAUAUUGCUGCAGCAUAUUUAGCAAAGUUUUUCUGACUCAUAACAGUUUUAUGAUUUUUCUCUUAUCCUCAGUUGCUAUACCUGCCUUUCAGGAACUGCCCUCGUUUUCAAGAACUUGAGAGUGAGACUUUGAAAUCAGAGGAAUUCCAGAAGAGGCUGCACCCUUAUAAGGAUUUUAUAGCUACCUUGGGAAAACUUUCAGGAUUACAUGGCCAGGACCUUUUUGGAAUUUGGAGUAAAGUCUACGACCCUUUAUAUUGUGAGAGUGUUCACAAUUUCACUUUACCCUCCUGGGCCACUGAGGACACCAUGAUUAAGUUGAGAGAAUUGUCAGAAUUGUCCCUCCUGUCCCUCUAUGGAAUUCACAAGCAGAAAGAGAAAUCUAGGCUCCAAGGGGGUGUCCUGGUCAAUGAAAUCCUCAAUCACAUGAAGAGAGCAACUCAGACACCAAGCUACAAAAAACUUAUCAUGUAUUCUGCGCAUGACACUACUGUGAGUGGCCUACAGAUGGCGCUAGAUGUUUACAACGGACUCCUUCCUCCCUAUGCU
rnacentral:sRNA from 1 species